rnacentral:rRNA from 2 species
UGAAGAAUAUUGGGCAAUGGGGGAAACCCUGACCCAGCAACGCCGCGUGAAGGAAGAAGGUUUUCGGAUUGUAAACUUCUGUCCCAUGGGACGAAACAAAUGACGGUACCAUGGGAGGAAGCCCCGGCUAACUACGUGCCAGCAGCCGCGGUAAUACGUAGGGGGCAAGCGUUGUCCGGAAUUAUUGGGCGUAAAGGGUGCGUAGGCGGCCUUUCAAGUUGGAUGUGAAAUCCCCGUGCUUAACAUGGGAAUUGCAUUCAAAACUGGAGGGCUUGAGUGUGGAAGAGGUAAGUGGAAUUCCCAGUGUAGCGGUGAAAUGCGUAGAUAUUGGGAGGAACACCAGUGGCGAAGGCGACUUACUGGGCCACAACUGACGCUGAUGCACGAAAGCGUGGGGAGCAAACAGG